rnacentral:rRNA from 1 species
UACGUAGGGGGCGAGUGUUGUCCGGAAUCAUUGGGCGUAAAGGGCGCGUAGGCGGCUCGGUAAGUAGGGGGUGAAAUCCUGCGGCUUAACCGCAGGGCUGCCUUCUAAACUGUCGAGCUCGAGCACGGUAGAGGCAGAUGGAAUUCCCGGUGUAGCGGUGGAAUGCGUAGAGAUCGGGAAGAACAUCAGUGGCGAAGGCGGUCUGCUGGGCCGUUGCUGACGCUGAGGCGCGACAGCGUGGGGAGCAAACAGG